UAUUACAUGCUGAUUUAUGUGGACCAUUGCCGGUGGCGUCAUUAUCAAGUACAAAAUAUUUUCUGCUCGUAAUUGAUGAAUACUCUAGGAAAAUGUGGAUUUGCUUUCUUAAAAACAAAAGCCAAACUUUGGUAAAUUUGUUGAAUUUAAAACUAUGAUUGAAAGACAAACAGAAAAAACUAAUCAAGGAGAUAAGGACGGAAAAAUGGAAAAGAAUUUACUUCUUGAACUAUUGGUUAAAAUAUGGCAUUACAAGACAUUAUACAUAGCCUUACACACCCCAACAAAAUGGGGUAGUUGAAAGAAGAAAUUGCUCUACCAUGGAAAAAGUUCAAAGUACGCUACUGCAUUGAAAAUUGUCCACUUAUUUAUGGCCAAAAGCAGCAAAAAUGGCAGUAUAUUUAUUAAAUAGACAACCUACGCAUGUGAAAUUUUAAAACAAAUCUUUGGAAGACUUUUUUUCAGGAAAAACCUCAAUUCAACCAUCUGAGGGUUUUUGGUUAUUUAUCUCACAUACUCAUAAGUUGUCAAUGAAGAAAUAAACUGCAAUCAAGAUAAUUAGUUGGCAGUUUUGCGGGCUACGAUGAGAAAAUUAAAGCAUACAUGAUAUUCUUGCAUCAUUCACCCAAAAUUAUAUUGUCCAAAGACGUCUUUUUUUAAAAAUCCAAGCUCGUGGACUAUGAAAAAUAUAACCAGAAGAACAAUUAUGAAUACGCUUCACUGGAAUAUCUCGAAUCUGGGAAUCCAUACAUAAAUGCCCUUUCCCGCUAACGGAGGAGCCCACAUAGACCUCGACAUCAGUAAUCCUGUGCCAAAUUGAGCCUAUUCAAAUGACGACAAAAGCAAUGGAGACUCUGCCAAUCUCAGUGACCAGCAAAAGACGAAGCAUCAACUAUUUCGGGCAGCAAUAAAAAUAAAAAUAAAAAUAAAAUAUCCGAGAAGAGAAAAUAAGUUAUUGGUCUAUCUAAUAUAUGACAUAUUAUUAUUUGAAGGUUCUGAUUUGCGUAGCUCUAACCAAAAUUCAUCAAUUCCAAUAUGGACAACUCCUACCGGAACAAGAGCAAGGAAAUUAACCCAGCAUCGUAGCAUCUCACAAGUCUUCCAUUAGGUGAAUCUGCAAUUUACACAAAAUGGAUCUAUAAAGCAAAAUUAAACAUAUAUGGGUCACUUCAAUAACAUAGCAUUAAAUUAGUUGCUAGAGGAUUUGAACAAAAGGAGGGAAUUGACUACGAAGAAACAUUUGUACCAAUGGUAAAAUGGGCAAUCAUUAGAGCCAUGAUGUUGGUUGCCACUCAAAAAAAUUGGAAAUUAUCUCAAAUGGAUGUCAAAAUGGUAUUUCUUCGUGAAGAAUUAAAAGAAGAAGUUUAUGUAACCCAACUCCAAGGUUUUGAAGUACCAGGCAAGGAACAAAUGGUAUGUAGAGUAUAUAAGGCAUUAUAUGGAUUAAAGCACAUAUAUUAUAAAAAAAUAGAUUCUUACCUAAAAAAAAGUAGGUUCUCAACAAGGCAAUGGAUUUAAAUCAUUAUGAAUCUAUAUGUAGAUGAUCUCAUCAUGAUGGAAAACUGCACAUAAAAUCUCAUCAAAUUCAAGAAAGAAUUACAUGAAAAAUUUGAAAUGUCAAAAUUGUUAGAAAAAGGAAGUUACUCUAUAUUUAGAAACAAAAUACAGACAAAUAAAAGAAGGAAUACUUGUGAUCCGAAAGGCUUAAGCACAAAAUAUAUUGAUAAAUUCAGGGAUGGAAAACUAAGCACCUGCAACAACUUCUAUGGAUAAGAAAAGAAAACUGAAAAUAGAUAUGGAGGAAGAAGAAGUGGAUCCUACACAAUAUUGUAGUAGCGUAGGAAAAUGUCUAGAUUUGACCCACAUUCAACCAGACAUACAAUUUGCAAUAGAAGUUAUAAGUAGAUUUAUGGCAAGACCUCAACAAUCUCAUUUAUUAGUAGCCAAAAGAAUAUUAUGUUACAUUAAGGGCACUCAAAAUUAUGAAAUAUUACAUCAAAAUGACAACUAAGAAAAUCUUUUAAUUACAAACACUCACCACAAAAGAUAAUAGCGCCCUAUUCACGUAAUGGAUGGAUUGACAUUGCAGCAAUAGUUUGUAUUUUAUCAGAGAAGACACCCUGGCAAUCUCAAAAACAGGAGGAGUAACCAAGCAAACAAAGUUGACCGGCGAAUCGUGACGGCGCUCCUAGAAUAAUGCCAUUACUGCUUGUCACAAAAUCAGAGCAAUGGAAACUCGGAAUUCAGAAUUAGCUUCGAACGGCACCACUGAAAUUAGAACUUGAAAGAAACCCUUCGAGAUUGUCUCGACGCAAAACGGUGGAAGUUC
rnacentral:lncRNA from 1 species